UUAAGCGACUAAGCGUACACGGUGGAUGCCCUGGCAGUCAGAGGCGAUGAAGGACGUGCUAAUCUGCGAUAAGCGUCGGUGAGGUGAUAUGAACCGUUAUAACCGGCGAUUUCCGAAUGGGGAAACCCAGUGUGUUUCGACACACUAUCAUUAACUGAAUCCAUAGGUUAAUGAGGCGAACCGGGGGAACUGAAACAUCUAAGUACCCCGAGGAAAAGAAAUCAACCGAGAUUCCCCCAGUAGCGGCGAGCGAACGGGGAGGAGCCCAGAGCCUGAAUCAGUGUGUGUGUUAGUGGAAGCGUCUGGAAAGGCGUGCGAUACAGGGUGACAGCCUCGUACACAAAAAUGCACAUAUUGUGAGCUCGAUGAGUAGGGCGGGACACGUGGUAUCCUGUCUGAAUAUGGGGGGACCAUCCUCCAAGGCUAAAUACUCCUGACUGACCGAUAGUGAACCAGUACCGUGAGGGAAAGGCGAAAAGAACCCCGGCGAGGGGAGUGAAAAAGAACCUGAAACCGUGUACGUACAAGCAGUGGGAGCCUCUUAAUGGGGUGACUGCGUACCUUUUGUAUAAUGGGUCAGCGACUUAUAUUCUGUAGCAAGGUUAACCGAAUAGGGGAGCCGAAGGGAAACCGAGUCUUAACUGGGCGUUAAGUUGCAGGGUAUAGACCCGAAACCCGGUGAUCUAGCCAUGGGCAGGUUGAAGGUUGGGUAACACUAACUGGAGGACCGAACCGACUAAUGUUGAAAAAUUAGCGGAUGACUUGUGGCUGGGGGUGAAAGGCCAAUCAAACCGGGAGAUAGCUGGUUCUCCCCGAAAGCUAUUUAGGUAGCGCCUCGUGAAUUCAUCUCCGGGGGUAGAGCACUGUUUCGGCAAGGGGGUCAUCCCGACUUACCAACCCGAUGCAAACUGCGAAUACCGGAGAAUGUUAUCACGGGAGACACACGGCGGGUGCUAACGUCCGUCGUGAAGAGGGAAACAACCCAGACCGCCAGCUAAGGUCCCAAAGUCAUGGUUAAGUGGGAAACGAUGUGGGAAGGCCCAGACAGCCAGGAUGUUGGCUUAGAAGCAGCCAUCAUUUAAAGAAAGCGUAAUAGCUCACUGGUCGAGUCGGCCUGCGCGGAAGAUGUAACGGGGCUAAACCAUGCACCGAAGCUGCGGCAGCGACACUAUGUGUUGUUGGGUAGGGGAGCGUUCUGUAAGCCUGUGAAGGUGGCCUGUGAGGGUUGCUGGAGGUAUCAGAAGUGCGAAUGCUGACAUAAGUAACGAUAAAGCGGGUGAAAAGCCCGCUCGCCGGAAGACCAAGGGUUCCUGUCCAACGUUAAUCGGGGCAGGGUGAGUCGACCCCUAAGGCGAGGCCGAAAGGCGUAGUCGAUGGGAAACAGGUUAAUAUUCCUGUACUUGGUGUUACUGCGAAGGGGGGACGGAGAAGGCUAUGUUGGCCGGGCGACGGUUGUCCCGGUUUAAGCGUGUAGGCUGGUUUUCCAGGCAAAUCCGGAAAACCAAGGCUGAGGCGUGAUGACGAGGCACUACGGUGCUGAAGUGACAAAUGCCCUGCUUCCAGGAAAAGCCUCUAAGCAUCAGGUAACAUCAAAUCGUACCCCAAACCGACACAGGUGGUCAGGUAGAGAAUACCAAGGCGCUUGAGAGAACUCGGGUGAAGGAACUAGGCAAAAUGGUGCCGUAACUUCGGGAGAAGGCACGCUGAUAUGUAGGUGAAGCGACUUGCUCGUGGAGCUGAAAUCAGUCGAAGAUACCAGCUGGCUGCAACUGUUUAUUAAAAACACAGCACUGUGCAAACACGAAAGUGGACGUAUACGGUGUGACGCCUGCCCGGUGCCGGAAGGUUAAUUGAUGGGGUUAGCGGUAACGCGAAGCUCUUGAUCGAAGCCCCGGUAAACGGCGGCCGUAACUAUAACGGUCCUAAGGUAGCGAAAUUCCUUGUCGGGUAAGUUCCGACCUGCACGAAUGGCGUAAUGAUGGCCAGGCUGUCUCCACCCGAGACUCAGUGAAAUUGAACUCGCUGUGAAGAUGCAGUGUACCCGCGGCAAGACGGAAAGACCCCGUGAACCUUUACUAUAGCUUGACACUGAACAUUGAGCCUUGAUGUGUAGGAUAGGUGGGAGGCUUUGAAGUGUGGACGCCAGUCUGCAUGGAGCCGACCUUGAAAUACCACCCUUUAAUGUUUGAUGUUCUAACGUUGGCCCGUAAUCCGGGUUGCGGACAGUGUCUGGUGGGUAGUUUGACUGGGGCGGUCUCCUCCUAAAGAGUAACGGAGGAGCACGAAGGUUGGCUAAUCCUGGUCGGACAUCAGGAGGUUAGUGCAAUGGCAUAAGCCAGCUUGACUGCGAGCGUGACGGCGCGAGCAGGUGCGAAAGCAGGUCAUAGUGAUCCGGUGGUUCUGAAUGGAAGGGCCAUCGCUCAACGGAUAAAAGGUACUCCGGGGAUAACAGGCUGAUACCGCCCAAGAGUUCAUAUCGACGGCGGUGUUUGGCACCUCGAUGUCGGCUCAUCACAUCCUGGGGCUGAAGUAGGUCCCAAGGGUAUGGCUGUUCGCCAUUUAAAGUGGUACGCGAGCUGGGUUUAGAACGUCGUGAGACAGUUCGGUCCCUAUCUGCCGUGGGCGCUGGAGAACUGAGGGGGGCUGCUCCUAGUACGAGAGGACCGGAGUGGACGCAUCACUGGUGUUCGGGUUGUCAUGCCAAUGGCACUGCCCGGUAGCUAAAUGCGGAAGAGAUAAGUGCUGAAAGCAUCUAAGCACGAAACUUGCCCCGAGAUGAGUUCUCCCUGACUCCUUGAGAGUCCUGAAGGAACGUUGAAGACGACGACGUUGAUAGGCCGGGUGUGUAAGCGCAGCGAUGCGUUGAGCUAACCGGUACUAAUGAACCGUGAGGCUUAACCUU
rnacentral:rRNA from 2 species